rnacentral:rRNA from 1 species
UCCUACGGGAGGCAGCAGAGGGGAAUAUUGGACAAUGGGCGCAAGCCUGAUCCAGCAAUGCCGCGUGUGUGAAGAAGGCCUUCGGGUUGUAAAGCACUUUUAUCAGGAGCGAAAUACUACGGGCUAAUACCCUGUGGGGCUGACGGUACCUGAGGAAUAAGCACCGGCUAACUUCGUGCCAGCAGCCGCGGUAAUACGAAGGGUGCAAGCGUUAAUCGGAAUUACUGGGCGUAAAGCGUGCGUAGGCGGAAUGCUUUGUCGGGCGUGAAAUUCCAGGGCUUAACCUUGGGGCUGCGUUCGAGACGGGUAUUCUAGAGUGGAGAAGAGGGUCGUGGAAUUCCCAGUGUAGAGGUGAAAUUCGUAGAUAUUGGGAAGAACACCGGUGGCGAAGGCGGCGACCUGGUCUUUUACUGACGCUGAGGCGCGAAAGCGUGGGGAGCAAACAGGAUUAGAUACCCUGGUAGUCCACGCUGUAAACGAUGUGCGCUGGAUGUUGGGACACCUAGUGUUUCAGUGUCGUAGCUAACGCGGUAAGCGCACCGCCUGGGGAGUACGGCCGCAAGGUUGAAACUCAAAUGAAUUGACGGA